UGGGGUUUCUAUGCGGCAUGU
rnacentral:miRNA from 1 species